AUUGAACGCUGGCGGCAGGCCUAACACAUGCAAGUCGAACGAGUGGCGGACGGGUGCGUAAUGUCUGGGAAACUGCCCGAUGGAGGGGGAUAACUACUGGAAACGGUAGCUAAUACCGCAUACCAUCGGAUGUGCCCCGAUGGGAUUAGCUAGUAGGUGGGGUAACGGCUCACCUAGGCACAGAUCCCUAGCUGGUCUGAGAGGAUGACCAGCCACACUGGAACUGAGACAGGGUCCAGACGCCGACGGGAGGCAGCAGUGGGGAAUAUUGAACAAUGGGCGCAAGCCUGAUGCAGCCAUGCCGGGUGUAUGAAGAAGGCCUUCGGGUUGUAAAGUACUUUAAGCGAGGAGGCGGUACUCGCAGAAGAAGCACCGGCUAACUCCGUGCCAGCCGCCGCGGUAAUUC
rnacentral:rRNA from 1 species